UACGUAGGGUGCAAGCGUUGUCCGGAAUUAUUGGGCGUAAAGAGCUCGUAGGCGGUUCGUCGCGUCGGCUGUGAAAACCCGGAGCUCAACUCCGGGCCUGCAGUCGAUACGGGCGGACUUGAGUGUUGCAGGGGAGACUGGAAUUCCUGGUGUAGCGGUGAAAUGCGCAGAUAUCAGGUGGAAUACCGGUGGCGAAGGCGGCCAAUUGGCCCAACACUGACGCUGAGAUACGAAAGCGUGGGGAUCAAACAGG
rnacentral:rRNA from 1 species